rnacentral:rRNA from 1 species
GUAGCGGUGAAAUGCGCAGAUAUCAGGAGGAACACCGGUGGCGAAGGCGGAUCUCUGGGCCAUUACUGACGCUGAGGAGCGAAAGCGUGGGGAGCGAACAGGAUUAGAUACCCUGGUAGUCCACGCCGUAAACGUUGGGAACUAGGUGUUGGCGACAUUCCACGUCGUCGGUGCCGCAGCUAACGCAUUAAGUUCCCCGCCUGGGGAGUACGGCCGCAAGGCUUAAA